rnacentral:rRNA from 1 species
UGAGGAAUAUUGGUCAAUGGACGGAAGUCUGAACCAGCCAAGUAGCGUGCAGGAUGACGGCUAUGCUGGGUUGGUUUUUGCUUUUGUAUGGGGAUAAAGUUAGGGACGUGUCCCUAUUUGCAGGUACCAUACGAAUAAGGACCGGCUAAUUCCGUGCCAGCAGCCGCGGUAAUACGGAAGGUCCAGGCGUUAUCCGGAUUUAUUGGGUUUAAAGGGAGCGUAGGCUGGAGAUUAAGUGUGUUGUGAAAUGUAGACGCUCAACGUCUGAAUUGCAGCGCAUACUGGUUUCCUUGAGUAUGCACAACGUUGGCGGAAUUCGUCGUGUAGCGGUGAAAUGCUUAGAUAUGACGAAGAACUCCGAUUGCGAAGGCAGCUGACGGGAGCGCAACUGACGCUUAAGCUCGAAGGUGCGGGUAUCAAACAGGAUUAGAUACCCUGGUAGUCCGCACAGUAAACGAUGGAUGCCCGCUGUUGGUACCUGGUAUCAGCGGCUAAGCGAAAGCAUUAAGCAUCCCACCUGGGGAGUACGCCGGCCGGUG